ACGUGGUUAAAAUACUACAACUUUCUUACGUUUCUAGGUUAUAGAACGACAUUCAUCUUACUAACACAUAAUAAUAACAAAUAAUACUAUUUUAUUCAUUAUAAAAGUAUUUACAAAAGGUUCGAUUUUCUGGGGCGUUACAUCAUAACUAUUGUUCAGUUAUUGAAGAUAUAUAAUUCGUAUGAUUCAAGCAUAUUGUUAAAUGGAAUAGUUGUACUUGUUGAGCUAGUUAUGCUCACUCUUUCUUAAACCAUAUGAAUGCAGCUAAGACCAAACGAACCGAAAGAUCUGGUAAGGAUAAAGGAAAGGCUAAGGCAAACCUGUAGAUUACCUAUGUAAUAGUAUAGGUUUGUAAUGAUAAUAUUUGAUAUUAUGACAAGAAUAAAUGUAAUGGUUAUAAAGAACCUGGGGAAUGGUAAUAUUAUUUUUGAAUAUAUAUAUAUAUAUAAGACAUAUUCGUUCUUUUGAGGCAUUUCAAUUGAAUGUUUAUGUGAACUGUAGCACCGUGGAACACCAUAUGUCGGGUUGGAAGAUACCCAGAUUUGGGGGUGUCUAAGAGAAAGCUUCACAAAACAUAAUAAAAGAGAAAAAUAAUUAUUUAGUAUAGGGGACAUAACACCCAAACUUGCCGAAAGAGAAGAAAAAAGAUAUAACACAUAUUUUGUUCACACAAUGGACACUGAUUGUUCAUAUAUUAAUAUUCAAUUGUUCUAAAUGAUACAUAAGGAACCACUGUUUGUUCAUAAACCCAUAUUCAACUCAGUAUUAUAAAGAAUCACUGACUAAUUGAACAAAAACUUUUUAAAAAAAAUUGCCCAAGUCAAUUCAAUACCAAGCCAUCCUCAAUAUUAUAUAUAUAUAUAUAUAUAUAUAUAUAUAUAUAUAUAUAUAUAUAUAUAUACACACACACACACACAUACACAAAAAAAAAUAAAACUAAUUUGAAAACACAGAAAUUCCCAACUGAACAGAACAUGAAUAAAAAGUCAAGACAAUAUGCUUAAAGCAUCCAAUUACAUGAUGUAGUGUAUGACUAGAAAUCUCAGGUUACUUAUCAGCGACUAAUUAUCUAACCUUCAUCCUCUUACAUUAUUACCGAAUACAUUUAACAUCCAAUUGGGUUUAAAUAAAAACAACCUUUACAUGUUUUCAUUAAACAAAAGAUUAAAAAGAGUUGGUUUCUGUAUCGUAGAUUCGAAAUUGUAAGCCCUCAAUUUGUCUAUGUUCUUACUUAAAUUACCCCUCUAAUUGGUAGUUGUGAUUUCCCAUAAAAAUUCAAACCCUACAAAGAAAGAGAUUAAUGGCACAUGAAAACCAUAAAUCGAUAUUAUCAGUUAAAGAACAGGAGGAAUCACCACGCAAUUCUUCAAAUUAAGCUCAAAAUUAACAAUUGAUUUCAAUCCAGCAUAUCACAAAUAAAUAAUCAGUUAAUCACCACCCAAAUCUUCAAAUUGGGCUAAAAAAAUUAACAAGUAAAAGAAACUUUUCCCUCAAUUUUUACGUUACAAAACUAUGAACAUAGAGAGUACGGAAAGAGAUUUUUACCUUUAGUUUUGCAACGAAGUAGGAAUAUAUAGCUUCUCUUCAUAUCUUAUCCUCGAUCUUCUUUCUUUCAGUGAGUCGAUUAGAGUUUUCUUUUCUUUUCUCUUUAUCGCCUCUACUGCUCUCUUUUUUUCCAGCACAAGGUAGGUGUAUCUAUAUAUACUUAUAUACAGAAAACUUCUAUCACACUUCUUGAUCCUUUGAAAACAUUAAAAAAAUAAAAUUAAAUUAAAGGAGCUUAGCCUCAU
rnacentral:lncRNA from 1 species